rnacentral:rRNA from 1 species
AUGAAGACUCUCAUCUUCUGUAUCCUGCAUGGAAAAUGCUUCAACGCUCAGGAUCUCUUUAUACGCCAACUUGCAGCGUCUGGCUCAGAUCUCUUUGGUUUGAAGAUUUAUGCUCCAUGGGUUAUGAGGCUAAUCAAGCUCCACUCUGCUGUCUCCUAUCAGCCCUCUGCCCGCAACCACAGAAUCUUCUUACCUGAUGUGGACACCUCUGCUGAAGCCAUAUAUCCUGAGCCUGCCAAGCAGCCAUUAAGUCUUCAGAAUGCAGAACACCAGAGCUUCACUCAGCAUGAUGAAGGUGUUGAAGCCAUCUCCAGAGUGUAUCCAAUGGCUGGCACCACACGUGCCCCUGCAUCAACUGAAGCCACUGACAGCACAGCUGCCCAGAGACCCAAGAAACGC